GAGAAGCCAUGCCAUAUCUGAGCUUCUGUGUCUUUUUAAAUUUACUUAAUAUUGCUGUCAUUUUAAAAUAGCUCUGGGAGGGGCUUUAUCAUCCCUGAGUUUCCGCAGGUAUAGCCCGUGAAUACCUUUGACAAAGCACAUGUGCUUCUCUCCCUCCAUGGAAUGCUACUGCUGAGAAAGAUGCUUAUGUGGCUUACAGCGCACACCUGGCACAAUAACUGCACAUGACCUUCAUCCAUUUGGCCAUGAAUCACGUAUGAAUGAAUAGGUGUAGAUGUCUUUCACACUUUCCAAUGGAAGCUAUAGAUGUCAUCUGAGGUCUCCUAGAGAAAGCCUUCACGAAGGCUACCUACGGUGAUAUAACUAUUUCAGGAUGUUAAAGGAGGAAACAGAAUCAGGAGAGGUAUUUGUGAGUUAACACAUUUUACCAAUAAGUUACCGUAUUCUCAGGGCAGUGUCUGGCAGCCCUGGCGGUGUCUGGCAGAGUCUUCAGCCCAAAAAGGUAUCCUGAACCCCUGGGGCAUGGAGUAGUAAAGAUCUGUGACCUGUUUGGAACCUGCAUAGGUGCAAAGUCAGUAAGAGAAGCUCCUCUAUAUUUACAUUUGCUCCAUAUCGCUUACAGCACCAUCUGAGCUCUACAUUCUGUCAGAUCAGUGGCAGUAUUGGAUUUUCAUGUGAGCAUGAACGGUAUUGUGAACUGAGCUUGUGAGAGAUCUAGGCUGCAUGCUACUUUGAAUCAUCCUAAAGCCACACCCAGCCCAAUCUGGAAAACCUCUCUUCUAUGAAACCUGGUGCCCAAAAGGGAUAACAUUCCCCACUUUUCACAUUGCCGCUGUAAAGGGGCACUGGGCAAAGAAAUGACCCGGUAGUUCCGUGGCAGAGAAAGAUCUUGGAGAGUUCCAAAUAAUUCCCUAAUAAGAACUCUAGGUUAUUAUUUUUCCCCCUUCCCCUGCCCUCCCUUCAACUCCUCCAUUCCUCCCUAUUUACAAAGAUUUUGUUCCCAUUUUUCCAUUUUCUCAAAUUAGUUCCAUUCUUGUCUUUCCUUUCCCCUACCCCUCACACUUCCUUCCCCUUUGCCCCUUUUCUUCCUAUUUCACAUUACCUAUUAUAUAUUUUGAUCUUUAUUUACACUUUCAGUUUCUCACACCAGAGAAACUGUUCGGUAUUUAUACAUGUGUGUCCUAUUUAUUUCACUUAAGAGUAUCACCUCAAUGUGCAUCCACUUAGCUACAAACGUCUCUAAUUUCUCAUUUUUUAUGGUUGAGUAAGAUAAGAAUCAAGAGAGAUUAUGUAAAGGUGCAAAUUCCCAAUGAUGAAUGUCAUUAUAUUGUAUACCUAAAAUGUACCAAUGAUUAGAAUGAAUAAUCGAUAAUGCAAAAUAGGAAGAAAACAUCCAAAG
ensembl:lncRNA